CCAGUUACAUUAUUGGUUUGUAUCCUUUAUUUCCGUUCUAACCUUUUGAAAUUUGCCUUGACUGUUUUCUGUUUAGUUUACACUGUGUUUUUUUUAAAUAAAGAAAACCUGCACUUGCUUCAACCUCCCUUGAAUUGUAACAGCUGUGACAGCAAGACCUGCACCACCACCUUUCAGUGUCAUUUUCCCACUUCUCCCACAACUAGAGUCUGGGUGGUGAACAAACAGUGUUACUUCAUAACCCCAGUGUUGUGGAGAGCUGGGAAGCACAUGGCCACAGGGCAGAACCUCUUCAUCCUUGGUGAGAAGAGUACAGAGUGGCAUGGGUUCUAGGACCUCCUGGAUGUUAAGUGGAAGUGUGGCACAAGGAAUAAUGUGCGUUUCUCCUUCUCCCUUUCUGAAGAUGAUGAUGCUCCCUGAGCCUGCUGUGCUUUGCUAGCCUCCUGGGUCCCGCCUUCAGUGGAGAGAAGCUCUGCACCUCUUCAGCAUAUCCAGAUAAAUUUGUUUUCUUCUUUUACUUAAAUACUGUUUCACCUUCUUAUUGUAAAUAAACCUGCAUUAUCAUUCACAAUAUCUGGUCUCUGGUGUCUGUGCUCAGCCUCUCACAGAAGGAGUCGAAAACAACUGGUGAAGAAUGCAAGCAUGAACACAGCACCCUCAUCCCUGCUCAUCAUGGAUCAAAUCCUCAGGCAGGAUACAACGUGCUGCUCCUCAUCCCCAAUACAGUCUAUCGCAUGGAGUGAGUCUUGGCUUGGAGAGGGGAUGAUCUCACUCUCAGCAGCAGGAUAUGAUGAAGCUGGUUGACCAGUUCACAGAACUCUUCUCCUCAUCAACCAGCCUCACCCACCUAGUCCACCAUGAGAUCAAGACUUCGAAAACAGUGGCCGUACGUGAAUGACAGUACAUGCCAGUACGUAAGGACAAAAUGGGUUUCUGAACUAAGAGCGGCCACUGGCAGAAAUGGUUUCUCUCGUUUGGGCUGCACAGGGUGCCAGUCAUAUUCCAGAGACCUAUAAGCAUCAUGCUGCAGCCCCACUGUCCCUACACUCAACAACAUGGUAAUCCAUUCCUCCACCUGGUCCAUGGAGAAGUGACAUCUGGGGCUGACAGCCUGAGGCCAUGGUCUGCUUAUCCCUCAAGUGAAGAAGGUAGAAACUCUUCCGCCCACUCAGAUCUCACCGAGAAAGGACAACCAGAAUAGGUGCAAUGGACUACCACGAUAGAGCAGGCGUUUCAGCAGCUGAAGGAGCCUCUCAUCAGCAUGCCCAUAUUGCAGAACUAUGACUUCAGCUUCCCCUUCAAAAUGCACACAGAUGCAUCUGACACAGGACACGGUGCCAUCCUGUCCAAGGCCUUCAAAGCUGGUGAAUGACCAUGCCUGGGUCCAAUGGAUGGCUAAAGUUAAAAAUAGUUCCAGAGUUACUGGCUAGUUCUUAUCACUGCAGGAUUUUUCACUUCAAGUUCAUCCCAAAGCACGUACCCAGCAGGAGAAAGCAGAUGGCCUCAUUAUACAUUGUGGGCACAGCAGUUGGCAAUAGUUAAUCUCGGGGGGUGGAGAGUGGGUGAUCUGUGAUGAGAGUUAUUCUCAAUUCAUCAUAUGGACAGGACAAUGGAAUUGGGGAAGGGGACCUCCUACCUGACCCGUGAGCCAUGUAAACCAUUUGCCACACAUUCACACUUGACACCCCAUUACAAACCUCCCUCCUUUUAAAAAAGUUUGCUCCAUCUCUUGGUCACAGAGGUGAGCUUGGAAAGAAGAGAGUCUCUAGUUUCUGACACAAGUGUCAGGGUGAUUCUAAGCCUUACUGACACAGAGUUACAGAGGCUAGAAUGGAGGAUUUUUAUUUCCAUCUGAG